GCCCGCCUAGCUCAAUCGGAUAGAGCGUCAGACUUUUAUAUCCAAACAAAAUGCCAGAUGAUCUGAAGGCUGCGAGUUCGACCCUCGCGGUGGGCU